rnacentral:rRNA from 1 species
CCUACGGGGGGCAGCAGUAGGGAAUCUUCCACAAUGGGCGAAAGCCUGAUGGAGCAACGCCGCGUGGGUGAUGAAGGUCUUCGGAUCGUAAAACUCUGUUGUUAGGGAAGAAAGUGCGUGUGAGUAACUGUUCACGUCUCGACGGUAUCUAACCAGAAAGCCACGGCUAACUACGUGCCAGCAGCCGCGGUAAUACGUAGGUGGCAAGCGUUAUCCGGUUUUAUUGGGCGUAAAGGGAGCGCAGGCGGUCUUUUAAGUCUGAUGUGAAAGCCUGCGGCUUAACCGGAGUAGUGCAUUGGAAACUGGGAGACUUGAGUGCAGAAGAGGAAGGUGGAACUCCAUGUGUAGCGGUGAAAUGCGUAGAUAUAUCGAAGAACACCAGUGGCGAAGGCGGCUUGCUGGUCUGUAACUGACGCUGAUGUUCGAAAGCGUGGGUAGCAAACAGGAUUAGAUACCCCUGUAGUC